AUACGUAGGGAGCGAGCGUUGUCCGGAUUUACUGGGCGUAAAGGGUGCGUAGGCGGCUCUGCAAGUCAGGUGUGAAAGCCCUCGGCUUAACUGAUGGACUGCAUUUGAAACUGUGGGGCUUGAGUGAAGUAGAGGCAGACGGAAUUCCCGGUGUAGCGGUGAAAUGCGUAGAGAUCGGGAGGAACACCAGUGGCGAAGGCGGUCUGCUGGGCUUUAACUGACGCUGAGGCACGAAAGCAUGGGUAGCAAACAGGAUUAGAUACCCUGGUAGUCCAUGCCGUAAACGAUGAUUACUAGGUGUGGGGAGUCUGACCCUCUCCGUGCCGGAGUUAACACAAUAAGUAAUCCACCUGGGAAGUACGACCGCAAGGUUGAA
rnacentral:rRNA from 1 species